GAUGAAGAACGCAGCGAAAUGCGAUAAGUAAUGUGAAUUGCAGAAUUCAGUGAAUCAUCGAAUCUUUGAACGCACAUUGCGCCCGCCAGCAUUCUGGCGGGCAUGCCUGUUCGAGCGUCAUUUCAACCCUCAAGCCCCCCCGGGGGCCUCGGUGUUGGGGGACGGCACACCAGCCGCCCCCGAAAUGCAGUGGCGACCCCGCCGCAGCCUCCCCUGCGUAGUAGCACACACCUCGCACCGGAGCGCGGAGGCGGUCACGCCGUAAAACGCCCAACUUUCUUAGAGUUGACCUCGGAUCAGGUAGGAAUACCCGCUGAACUUAAGCAUAUCAAUAAGCGGAGGA
rnacentral:misc_RNA from 1 species